UGGCCUUCUAUCUCAAAUGAAUAAUUUAUGUCUAAGUCUACUUUGCCUGAUAUUAAUAUAGGUACAGUAAUCUAUCUUUGGUUAGCAUUUGCAUAGUGUAUAAUUUUCCAACUAUGUAUUUUUAACUUUUCUUUAAAUUUAAGCCUUGUCUACAGUAAUCAAGUUUUUGUAGUAAUGAAGUCUGUAAUAGCAAGUUUUUAUCUUUUUUCAUUCAGUCUGUUAAUCAGUGUCUUUUUAAUUGAAUAAUUUGGUCAAUUUCCAGUUAAGUCAUUAACUGGAAAUUAUUACAUUUGACUUUAGAUCUUCCAUCUUACUACAUUUUUCUAUUUGUUUCAAAUGCUGUUGCUCUUUCUUUCCCUUUCUUCUUCUUGAUUUUUCUUUCAGUGUUCAAAUUCCUUACCUCUAUUAGCCUACUUAUUAAACAUUUAUUUAAUUUUGAUUUUAGUAGUUACCCCAGAGGCUAAACACCCUUGAGUUAUUAUAUAUAAAUUAGAACUUUUAACACAUGCUGAGUCUGGAGCUAGUGAAUCCUCUCAAGAUUGGCUUAUUUCAACUAGUUUUUAUCUUGCUUCUCAUUUGAAGGAUUUUUUCUAGCUUAGCAGUUGUCUUCUAUGAGCAUCAUGAAGGUGUCUUUGGGCUUCAAAAACUUACACUGGGAAGUCAGCUCUUUGUCUAAUUUUGCUCCUCUCAUGCCAAUACUCUUUUUUCUCCUGCAUGCAUGCCUGCUAAGUCGAUUCAGUCAUGUCUGACUCUGUACACCCUUAUGUACUGUAGCCUGCCAGGCUUCUCUGUCCAUGUGAUUGUCCAGGCAAGAAUACUGGAGUGGGUUGCCAUGCCCUUGGCCAGGGGAUCUUCCCAACCCAGGGAUCGAACCUGCAUCUCUUUUGUCUCCUGCACUGGCAGGGGGUUAUUUACCACUAGUGCCACCUGUGAAGUCCCUUUUUUCUCCUAUGGAUGCUUUAAAAUUUUUUUCCUUACUUCCAAUUUUCAGCAGAUUUAUAUGCCUAAUUUUACUUUUCUAUGAACUUAUCUUGCUUGGAAUUCCUACUUUUUCUUGAAUCUCUGGCUUGAUGUUUUUCAUCAAUGGGAAAUUCUCAGCUGUUCUUUUUAAAAUGCUACAUCUUCCUCAUUCUCAUUUUCCUCUUCUGCUGCUGUGGUUCUAUUAAGAUUUAUGUUUGGUGUUUUAUGUGUUCUAAAUAUUUCUUUUCCUCUUUCCUGUAUUACCUAUUCUUGGUUUGUGUUUUAUUCUGGAUAUUUCUUCUGAUUUAUCUUUUACUUCAACAGUUUCUCUUCAGUUCUUUCUAAUCGUAGGUUAAACAUACCCACUCUUCUUAGAUUUACCUAUUAUGUUUUCCUGUCCUAGAAUUUGUAUUUUAUUUCCAUUUUUUUGUUUAAAAUUUCAAUAUUCUCUGUCAAUUCCUUGAACAUAUCACUCAUAGUUUAUAUGCUGUUGCUGUAUUGGUCUAAUAACUUCAUUUUCUUCAUCUUCUGUGGAUCUGUUUCAUGUUUUGUGUCUUACAUUUUUGGAAACAGCCUUUGUGUGUAUAGGUGUGUGUUUGAUACUGGAUAUUAUAUAUUAAAACUUAACAAGUUAGGAAUUCCUUGGUGGUAUACGUUAUGAUACCACACUUUCACUGCUGAGGGCCAGGAUCGAUCCCAGUCAGGGAACCAAGAUCCCACAAGUCAUGUUGAAUGACCAAGUUAAAAAAAUAAUGAGCCUGGAUGAUGUCAUCAUAAUCAAGACAGGAUGGGUUUUGCCUCUGGCAGGCAGGUAGGCUAAAAGAAGGAGAAAUUCUUCAUUGUCUUUCUCAAAUAAGGAAUAAAAAUGUUAAGAACUUUAGUGUAUGAAGACUGGUCUAUUUCUGGUACAUUCUUACUCACAGAGUUCCAGCUGGAAACAUGGGGUGUUUAUUAGGGUCCUUUUUUGUGGAAGGGGUCCUUUAAUUUCAACGUUUAUCUCCCUGUCUCACGGCUCUGUCAAGGAUCUGCUCAUGUUAUCAGCCUCUCAGUUGUUUUUUUCCAGUCAGUAACUGCUUUUAGGGAGAAGCUCCCCCACCAAGGCCAGAUCACUUCUUUGAGCCUCUUUUUCUUGCAGUCCAGGCCCUCACAAUUCCUCAUAUACAACCUUGUUAGCUAUGCCAUGCAUUCAAAACAGUAGCUUUUGUCUUAAAAAAAAAAAAAUUGAACUAGCUGUUUACAGCAAGACAAUUGGUUCCAGCUACUUAAUACACCAUUGCUGAUACUGGAAUUCCUCCAUGUAAAAUAUUUUUAAGUUUAUAUAGUUGAUUUAACAAUUUUCUUCCCUUGA
ensembl:lncRNA